rnacentral:rRNA from 1 species
CGAUGUCGGCUCAUCACAUCCUGGGGCUGAAGUAGGUCCCAAGGGUAUGGCUGUUCGCCAUUUAAAGUGGUACGCGAGCUGGGUUUAGAACGUCGUGAGACAGUUCGGUCCCUAUCUGCCGUGGGCGCUGGAGAACUGAGGGGGGCUGCUCCUAGUACGAGAGGACCGGAGUGGACGCAUCACUGGUGUUCGGGUUGUCAUGCCAAUGGCACUGCCCGGUAGCUAAAUGCGGAAGAGAUAAGUGCUGAAAGCAUCUAAGCACGAAACUUGCCCCGAGAUGAGUUCUCCCUGAGACUUAGAGUCUCCUGAAGGAACGUUGAAGACGACGACGUUGAUAGGCCGGGUGUGUAAGCGCAGCGAUGCGUUGAGCUAACCGGUACUAAUGAACCGUGAGGCUUAACCUU